GACGACGCUGGCGGCGUGCCUAAUACAUGCAAGUUGAACGCUGAAGGUAGGUAGUUGGACCCACUGGAUGAGCAGCGAACGGGUGAGUAACACGUGGACAAUCUGCCUCUGAGCGGGGGACAACAUUUGGAAACAAAUGCUAAUACCGAAUGAAAACUUUAGACCCAUGUUUCAAUUUGAAAGAGCGCCUUUGCCUCCCCCAAAAAAGAUCCCCCCUGGGAUUAACUAAUUGGGGAGGUAAAAGCCCACCCAGGACAUGAUACCUAACCCAACUGAAAAGACGAACCGCCCCCUUGGGACCGAAAACCCGCCCAAACCCCCACCGGAAGGCUCCAUAAGGAAUCCUCCCCCAUGGACCAAAAUCUGACCGAACAACCCCCCCUGGUGGAAUAAAGGUUUCCGAUCCUAAAACUCUGGUGGUAUAGAAAAACCUUCAUGAAAAUGGAAAGAUCAUCAUUUGACGGUACCUACCCAGAAAGGGACGGCUAACUACGUGCCAGCAGCCGCGGUAAUACGUAUGUCCCGAGCGUUAUCCGGAUUUAUUGGGCGUAAAGCGAGCGCAGACGGUUGAUUAAGUCUGAUGUAAAAGCCCGUGAGCUCAACUCUUGAAUGCCUUUGAAACCGGUAUACUUUAAUGGCAGAAAAGAUAAUGGAAUUCCCUGUGUAACCGUUGAAUGGCUAAAAUUUUGGAAGAACCCCCGUGGCCAAAGGCGCUCUCUGGCCUGGAACUGACCCUUAAGCUCCAAAGCUUGGGGAACCAAACAGAAUAAAUACCCCGGUAAUCCCCCCCCUAAACCAAUAAUGCCAAAUGGUUGGAACUUUUCCUUCUCUGUAUCCCAACUCACACACUUUACACUCCCCCCGGGGAGAACAACCCCGCGGUUUAAACUCUCAAGAAAUUUCAGGGGCCCCCACACACGCUGGAGCAUGUGGGUUUAAUUUCAACACCACGCAAAAACUUAUCACGUCUUGACAUACCCUUGCUAUUUCUAAAAAAAAGAAGUUCCCUCUUCACACACAAUACAACUGGUGCAUGGUUGUCGUCAUCUCCUGUCGUCAGAUGAUGUGGUAAUUCCCCCCACAACCACCACCCCCAUUGUUGUUUGCCGCCAUUAUUUUGAGCACUCUUCCAACACUGCCGCUGAUAGACCACAGGAAGAUGGCGAUGACGACAACUCAUCAUGACCCCUAUUACCAGCGGUACACACACUGCUACUAUGGAGGGUUCAACAACUCGCUAGACACCCAUGUUUAUCUAAUCUCCUACAACCAUUCUCCUCUCUUAUUGUAGUCUGCUGCUCCUCUACUUCAUGACGGCAUCGCCACUAAUCACCGAUCAUCACCCCGCCGCGAAUACAUUCCUCGCGCUUCUACGCACCGCCCGUCACCCCACCAUGAGUGUUAGUACCCGCAGUAGGCUGCCUCCCCACCUUUGAGGGCGCUUCCUAACGUAAGACCGACGAC
rnacentral:rRNA from 1 species